rnacentral:rRNA from 1 species
UUUGCAUAUCCAAUAGCGGAGGAAAAGAAACCAACAGGGAUUGCCUCAGUAACGGCGAGUGAAGCGGCAAAAGCUCAAAUUUGAAAUCCCCCCGGGGAGUUGUAAUUUGAAGAUUGCGUCUUGGAGGCGACCGUGUCUAUGUUCCUUGGAACAGGACGUCACAGAGGGUGAGAAUCCCGUGCGGCACGGCCCCCGGCUCCUUAUAAGGCGCUCUCGACGAGUCGAGUUGUUUGGGAAUGCAGCUCAAAGUGGGUGGUAAAUUCCAUCUAAAGCUAAAUACAGGCGAGAGACCGAUAGCGAACAAGUACAGUGAUGGAAAGAUGAAAAGCACUUUGAAAAGAGAGUGAAACAGCACGUGAAAUUGUUGAAAGGGAAGGGCAUGCCGUCAGAUUGUCAGUGUGGGUAAGAAGCGGGGUACAAAGACUGUGGAACGUGGCCCUCGGGUGUUAUAGCCGCAGUUCAUGCCCCGUCUCUUUCCGAGGCCUGCUUUGAGGACACCGACGUAAUGACGGUACGCCGCCCGUCUUAAAAACCCGGAACCAA